rnacentral:lncRNA from 1 species
AAAGUCUAUGUGAUACCCCUGCGAGUCUCUGAGUUCUCCCUGAGGAUCUGUACAGAACGUAUUGUAAAGAACUAGUUUUAGAAGCUGUUUACAGUCCGACUACGCAUGCGCAAGUUUUCUGCGUAGGAGCGAGCAGAUUCUACUUCAGUAUAUAAUUGUAUUUCAUGUAAUGUUCGUCGAUUAUUAAAACCGUGUGAAAAUUCUAGGACCACUGCGAUUGAAGGCUUAGAGAAAUAAACGUUCGGAACCUUAUUAUCAUCCUUUUGUUAUGGAGAGCGUUGAGAGAAGGAAGCCUUACAAUCCUAUCCAGAGAAAUACCACUCGGUA